UACGUAGGGUGCAGGCGUUAAUCGGAAUUACUGGGCGUAAAGCGUGCGCAGGCGGUUGUGCAAGACAGAUGUGAAAUCCCCGGGCUUAACCUGGGAAUUGCAUUUGUGACUGCACGGCUAGAGUAUGGCAGAGGGGGGGUAGAAUUCCACGUGUAGCAGUGAAAUGCGUAGAGAUGUGGAGGAAUACCGAUGGCGGAAGGCAGCCCCCUGGGCCAAUACUGACGCUCAUGCACGAAAGCGUGGGGAGCAAACAGG
rnacentral:rRNA from 1 species